AGGGGGCAAGGGCACAGGGGGCAAGGGCUCAUAGGCCUAGAGCAAUGGCUCAGAGGGCAGAGGAACGGGUGGCAGACGAAAGGCCGGCAAUUCGACCAGUGGCAGAGGCACGUGCACAGAGAGUAGAGGAAAGGAUGGCAGAGGAAAGGGAGGCAUUGCACUGACGAACGAUCUCUCUAGCUGAAAAACAAAAUCUGCAGCCAUGAACUGAAGGAGUCAACAACAACAAUAUGAAAAAAAGGAGGAAUUGCAUUUCGAGUCAUGGAGAUAAAUAUUAAGGUUAUUUUAAGUGUAUAUUUAAGUAUAGUUAAGUGACUUGUUUGACAAAAUAUCUCCUUGACAAUGAGUGAUAACCAAGUUUCCUAAACGACAAUCUCUUAAGACCUUGAAGUAAAGUCUAUUCGAUGUAUACUGAACUUUUUUUUCCGAUUGAAACUCCGUAUUUUUCACAAAAAUAAAACGAARUAUACCUUAUACAUCUAUGUUCACACGAUCGCCCUAAAAGUAAAAUUAUAUGUUUAGGCUUAUUGUCAGUCGAAAUCUAUAAAUGUAGCAGUUUUAAUMGAAAAUAAUCCGAUGAGUUGUAAAACGUAUUUUGUGAAAUACGAGCUAAUAAAUCCAGGUUUUAAUAUA